rnacentral:lncRNA from 1 species
AAAGACCUUUCAUUUUUGGAAGGGAGGAUAGCAAUAGCCGGAGUUCCAUAUCAGUAUCAGAGGACUCCUCGAAUUCAGUAAGUCUCCUUUGCUUCAAAACUAAUAAUUGAGAGGUACAUUAGCAUGCUUUGCUUAAGCUACUGCUUUUUAUUUUUGGCUAAAAUAUCUAUCAUGAUACUCUGUAUCUUCCGCUAUUGGCUUCUGCUAUAUAUGCUUCAUAUAUCAAUGGAUGUGCAUUUAUAGAACUUGAUUUACUUGGAAUUAGUAAGCUAUAUAGUUUUAACUUUUAAGUAACCAUCUUUCACGGAUUAUUUCAACAAUAACCUUCGUUUGUUUCUUUACUGAGCGUGGAAUAUUUGGUUUAUCUCCUCCCGUAGCCACUGAAUCCUCUGAAGCUCUUGCUAUCAUAUCGUUAUUCUCUACUGCAGUUGCUAAUGCAGUGACGGUAUCAUACGCCCACAGACAUUCAAAUCCAUACCCGCUCUGCUGCUAUUUAUCUCCCGCCUCUCUUGGAAAUAUCUCAAUUCCUUGGAAGGCCUCAAGCAAGCGCCGUGCAUUCAUAUUAGGUAAGCUUAUACACUACUCUACUGCCUUUUUUCCGUGAGGUGAGGAUGAUGCAUCACCAUGUGAGAUAUCAGUAGAUGUUCGAUUUAUGAUUAUUCUAAACAUCUUAAGUUCUGAUUUUCCAGGUCCUUGCUUUAUGUGACCAUCCUGCUCUCUUGGAUAAAUCUGAAACACACAGUUUAUUUAGN